UUGACUCCUAGCUGAUUUAGGUUAAAGCAGGAAAAAACAUUGGUUUUGUAAGCCAAAAUUAAAACUUUUUAGUCAGCAU
rnacentral:tRNA from 1 species